rnacentral:rRNA from 1 species
UACGCGGGGGGCAAGCGUUGUUCGGAAUUAUUGGGCGUAAAGGGCGCGUAGGCGGUGCGGUAAGUCACCUGUGAAAACUCUGGGCUCAACUCAGAGCCUGCAGGCGAAACUGCCGUGCUUGAGUGUGGGAGAGGUGCGUGGAAUUCCCGGUGUAGUGGUGAAAUGCGUAGAUAUCGGGAGGAACACCUGUGGCGAAAGCGGCGCACUGGACCACAACUGACGCUGAGGCGCGAAAGCUAGGGGAGCAAACAGG